UACGUAGGUGGCAAGCGUUGUCCGGAUUUACUGGGCGUAAAGAGCGCGCAGGUGGUCGAUCAAGUCGCGUGUGAAAGCCCCCGGCUCAACUGGGGAGGGUCACGCGAUACUGAUCGACUCGAAGGCAGGAGAGGGUAGUGGAAUUCCCGGUGUAGUGGUGAAAUGCGUAGAUAUCGGGAGGAACACCAGUGGCGAAGGCGACUACCUGGCCUGUUCUUGACGCUGAGGCGCGAAAGCUAGGGGAGCAAACGGG
rnacentral:rRNA from 1 species